UUUACUUAUAAAUCGUUUAAAAACAUUGUACUUACAAAAUGCAAAAUAAGAAAAAUAUGACUAACAUCGACAUGUUUGUUUAUGCUUUGAUCAUCUUUCUUUUUACUUUUCUUAAUGAACUCUCUGCUUAUAAGACAACUACUAUCCCCUGUGGAGUUAACCGUGAUUGUCCAUCAGCAGAAAAAGGUCAAUUUUGGUGGCAGUGUCGAGAAAAAUUUUGUGUGAAAUAUUAUUUGUGAGGGAACAUUUAUUAAGUAUUGCUAGCUUGGGUUUGUAACAUGUAUUAAUUUCAACAAUAUAAUAUCCGAUAAUAAAUACUAGACCGCAUGUCCGUA